GAAAAAAAAUUCACAAACAAUCCCCCGCACGUACGAGCCUGGUGCCCUCGAGCGAGAAACAGACGCCCGAGUCUGUGCCCUCAUUCGCCCGCCGCCGCUCUUCGUCCCUUCAUCGCCACCGCUCCAUCCCUUCGCCGCCGCCCUGGCACUGAGCCGCCGCUGGUCUCCACUGAUCCGUCCUCUUCCUGACGCAACCGCAGGUCACAGCGCCGCCGCCAACGUCCGAGAGUAGCCGCCGCGCCUGAGGACCGAGAGGAGCCGCCACCGAGAUCCGAGACUAGCCGCUGCGGCUGAGGACCGAGAGGAGCGGCCGCCUCCAGGUUGCAUAUGUGACACACCGCCGCCUCUAGGUCGCCGCCGAGGUCCGCAAUCGCCGAAGCCGGCCGGCCCUCACCUCCAUCGACCUCCUCUCGGAUGGAUCUUGCACGUCGCUAGAUCGACGGAAGGGGACCUCCACCACCGUCGUUCUUCUCCCUCCCAGACCUCCCGUCACCAUGCUCCCCGGAUCUGGCCGUGGCCACAACCGGCGGAGCUUCCCGGCCACCCGCCGACGACGCCAGCGAGGUAGCCACAGUCGUUGCUGCCAGAUCCAUGGAGGAGCGUACCCCGGCCUUCUCCUCGUUUUCCUCUUGUUGUAUGCCUUUAUGCAUAUUGCUAUGCGUUAUCACUAACACAUUGGCAAUGCAACAUCUUCUGGAGAUAGCAUUGACGGUAGUACACAUGUUUUGUACUGUAAGCCAUUGCAUUUACCUAUAAGAAUAUGCAACUCACAGUUCUCUCUGUAUGUUUUUGGUACAUGUUCGGAAUAUCUGCUACUAGGUGCAUACAAGAUGAAUCUUCAAGACAUGCUAUCUUGCUUUGUAAGUACUGCUAUUUAAGGGCAGCCGCCGCCGCCGUCCGUAGCAACGCAUAGGCCGCUUGCCCAGCUCCCUCAUUCCGAGCACGACACCACGCGUCGGAGCUUGUCGGGAGGCACGAAAGGACGAACAGAGUUCUAGCGGUGAUUCGUGUUGUCGCUGACGGUGUCAUAGGAUCCGCGGUGCACGUGACAAGGCGAUGGGGCUGCCAACCUACAUCUUCACCACAGCACAUGUGGAUUCUUGGGCUACCUCAACUUGGAUCAGCUUUUUCAAGAGGGGAUGCUUGCCAUUCAGAGACGGGCGUUUCGCAGAGUGUUCAGAAUAAUACUUUGCAAGGGACAGCAGCGCGAUGUCAAGCAGCAGCAGCAGCAGGUUCUGCAGCUUCGACGACCCUGGUGAGUCCACGGUCGUGCUCAACUCCCGCCAGCAGGGCGCGAAGGAGUUUCCCCUUGAACCCCAUGACCUGAUUCUCAGGUUCGUAAUUUAGCCUAUUUUUGGCUGUUGAUCACUCCUUUGUUUCUUUGUACAUGUUCUGAUUAAUGGUGCUUUGGAACAGUUCAACAUGUAGUUUUUGAUGGGAUUUAGUAAUUUUGGGUUGUUGAGAUGGAACAGUUCAACACGGUCGUAAUUUUGGGCUGUUGAGGUGGGAUUUAGUACAAAUCUGGGAAGCUGAAGCUUAAGAAGUUACAGAAUGAGUUUGCCUCGUUUUUUACUCUAUAUAUUGAUUUUAUUGACUACAAACAUUUUGUAUUUUCCAUCGUCAAAACAGGCUGCACUAUUCCUAAAUUUUAUGACUAAUGGAGGUGUAUGGUGCAAUCUAAGCUGGAGUACAACAUGUAUGCUUAUUUAUAUCCCUCCUGUUGCUAAUACGCAGGAAGAUAUUUAUCAUAUAUUUUUGUUGCCUCAUGAAAAAAAUGAACCUAAUGUUCUUCCCUGAUAUACUAUUAGUCACGGUGUUGGCUAUUGUUAUUUGGAGUAUAGAUUGAAAUGCUUCAGAUAUUGUGCCUUAUGAAAGAACACACUUAUGUUAUGAAAUCAAACUUUCCAGUUUCUAAAAAGAUUAAGUGUCUGUUGGCUGCUAAUAAUUUUGUUUAUAAAUAAAUUAUAUUGUUGUUUAUUAUAUAUGCAGGUUGAUUUGAACAAUGUAUAAGAACCACAUGCCGAUGGUGCACUUGCCUUUGGAAUUAAAGAUCAGCUUACUACACUAACCAGAUAUCAUAUAUAAAUACUAUACUCUACAGCAGUAUGAAAGGAUUUCAGGGCUAGCAAAUAUGUUAAAGAUAGAUACAGAGAAAGGUGAUUAGGGGAGUGGAUUCCGAUAAUGAUGCGAAAAAAAUGCCUUUGGUUCGAACACAUACUCUUGAAAGAAAGGAAGAAGCUUCUUGGUAAUGGAGAUGGGUCUCUUAUAUUUGGUAGGAGUCAGAAAAAAUCCAGCAUGGAAAAACACCACAUUCAACAUGGUGUAAUUAUGAUGAUCUAAACGAGUAUUCCUGGACUUCUGAUUGUUUCUCACUGCCAUGACCAAUGCGGGAUGAUGGUGGCUUCUUCAAAUAUGUGCAAGAUAUGUCCUCUUUAGCAUCACUGGAUUUUUGAAAACGUUAUAUCUGAAUUUAGAGUGCACUUCUGCAAAAAAGAUUUUGUCCUGAUUACUAUUUCGAUUUUAUUUCUGCAGGCACUGUGAAAUGAUCGAAUGCCGCUAAUCAUUUUGGAGGUUUGUUGUAGGGUGCUCUACCAGGUCAUAAUAUGCACCCACACAAUUCAAGUUCAUAUUCUGGAAGGACAUUGACCAACAAACCUUGUAGUAAUGUUACAGGUCAUAAAAUUGUGUAUUCCUACUAACCAUCAUUGCAUGUGUGCAGUGGUUAGAGAUUUUGUAGUGGAUAAUCAAUUAUCUUUAUCUGCUUCUAACUCAAGGAAUCAUACUGCAACAUUUCCUCCAGUGCAGGCAAACUCGAAUGAUAGUUAGUAAACUUGGUUAGUAAUAUUUUUUGUUUUCUUACCUUGCAUUUGCGAUACGUCACUGAACAUGUUUAUUAGUUUGUCACGUCACUCCUGCUUGACAUGCCAAUUCACAAAGGGCAGCCCGGUGCACAUCGCUCCCGCUUGCGCAGGGUCCGGGAAACGGUUUGACCACUUGACAUGCCAAUUCACAAAAAUGAAAGAAAUUCAGAUGACAUGUGAACCUCCCUGUUGACAUAAAAUUAAUGUUGUUUUAUGUCUAAGCCUCAUCUAUUAUAUACAUGUACAGUUACGGUGGUGGAUUUCAAUUCCUGUAACUUAGUUUUCUUACGAGAUGUAACUCAUCUACUAAUAUAUAGUAGUAUGUAUAAAGUUUCUUAAUCAAGCCAGCCUAAAUGGACCACACCAUACUUAGCAAAGCUAAUAGACGGCCCAUGCCCAGUACGAUUUUUUCAACUGCUGUAUAAUGGUAUUAUGAUUUCGUGCUCUUUUUCAGAAAAUCUGGGUGAUGAAGCUGACUCAAUAGAUCCAGAUUUUGGCCGCUAAAGCUGGUAGUGCAUCCUUGUCUAUGGUGUGGACAGAGGGAGAAAGGAGGCAAUUAACUACAGUCUGAAUGUAAAAUUAAAUCGUCUGAAUUAAAAUAGAAUCUGAUAAAACAAAACAAAGGAGGUCAUUAACUAGAGAAUUAGGCUGGACUAGAUAUACAUAUUAUACUGUAUUUUCCCACUAAAAACAUCCAGCGGGGAGGCUGAUGCAGCACUAUCACGGAUUGUUCCAGCUCUUCCUGAAUCGAUAUGGUUUGUCGAUGUUGGGAUCCUCGACGGUGAUUAGCAACUGAAUCGUGGAUGGAAGUACACUUUACUUCAAAGGAUAGCACACAUAUGAAGCGGUCAUUGAUGAAGUCAUGGAAAAGGGACUUGCCAAUGCUACACAGUCAUGAAAUCUUUGUCUGUUUCACUCUUCUUCCAUACAUGAUAUACAAGGUUCUUGGGAUGCUCGGUACUGUUGCCAGGAGGUACGAAAUGGUUUGAUCUGUCAAGCAUGGAUUGCUGAAGCACAAAAUACAAGGGGGUGCAUGAGGAGGCGAGAGCUGACGGCAACCAUUGGAGGAGGUCUGGUCGGUCGAAUAGUAAGGCAUGGGCAACUCCGAAGAGAUUUGGCUUGAGCAAAUGUCGAUGCUGCUGCAAUGAGAAGACCCUUUCUGUGAGCCAUAUCCCUCUCAUUUAGCGUCUCGAUUUUGGGUUCUUCUGCUCCCUGUUUCUCUGUUCAUUUGUGGUGAUGGAUAGAAAGCAUCCAUACUUCCAUAGGCAGAAGCUUGCACUUACCAAAUAGGCAUGUAAUUCAGGCAAUAGCUGAGCUCCCAGCCUCCUUAGACUGGCAUGGGCAUCAAUAAGGGCAUGGAGCCCGUCAAAGAGGAGGUCGGAGCGGCGUUGGACCUGGAUCAACUCAUCUAAAUCAAGCGGCCGGCUCCGGCUGGGAGUCGCCAACGCUCCACCUGGACGGCGUCGGCUGGGAGCUGUGACAGCUCCACAUGCAAUGGCUGGCCGGGGACCAGACCUCGACAGGAACGUGUUGCCCUUUGAGCCGGUGCAGAGCGACAAGUUCGUAGCAUCGUUAUAGUUUUUUGCACAAAGAUAGACCAUGUAGUACUGAUCAGGUGAAACACAUCGAUGUGGCACUGGUACUGAACUGAAGCAACGAUUUGUUCAACAAAAUAUGAUCCAAAUAGAAAAUGAGUGCGCAUAUUAGUUUCUAUAACAAGGAAUCGUCGCCGGUUUUGUGCCA